GCGGGAUGGAUCAGCAUUGAGUGGCUUGCACUGUGUUAAGGAAUAAAUACUAAGAAGGCACAGCUCCUGGCACUGCUGGCCCUGCAAAAUCAGAUGAAAAGUCAAAUGAUGUUCUUCCUCUCACUCUCAAGAAGUCUGACUCAAGUGAGAUAUGCAGCAGGUGAACACACUGAACCAAAGGUGACACAAGACUGGAAGAGUUAAGGCUUAUGAAGAGGCCAGGGAUACAGACCUUUCUGCAGGAGUUGAUAAGGUAA